rnacentral:rRNA from 1 species
CUGGUUGAUCCUGCCAGAGGUCACUGCUAUCGGGGUUCGAUUAAGCCAUGCGAGUCGAGAGGGUUCAGACCCUCGGCGGACUGCUCAGUAACACGUGGAUAACCUGCCCUAAGGCGGAGGAUAACCCCGGGAAACUGGGGAUAAUACUCCAUAGGUUAGAGAAACUGGAAUGUUCUUUAACUGAAAGUUGAGGCGCCCUAGGAUGGAUCUGCGGCCGAUUAGGUAGUUGUUGGGGUAACGGCCCAACAAGCCCAUCAUCGGUACGGGUUGUGGGAGCAAGAGCCCGGAGAUGGAAUCUGAGACACGAUUCCAGGCCCUACGGGGCGCAGCAGGCGCGAAAACUUUACAAUGCAGGAAACUGUGAUAAGGGAACCCCGAGUGCCCGUAUACGCGGGCUGUCCGGGUGUAUAAAUAGCAUCUGAAGAAAGGGCCGGGCAAGACCGGUGCCAGCCGCCGCGGUAAUACCGGCGGCUCGAGUGGUGACCACUUUUAUUGGGCUUAAGGCGUUCGUAGCUGGACUCUUAAGUCUCUCGGGAAAUCUCGCGGCUUAACCGUGGGGCGUUUAAGAGAUACUGGGAGUCUAGGAACCGGGAGAGGUAAGAGGUACUUCGGGGGUAGAAGUGAAAUUCUGUAAUCCUCGAGGGACCACCGAUGGCGAAGGCAUCUUACCAGAACGGCUUCGACAGUGAGGAACGAAAGCUGGGGGAGCGAACGGGAUUAGAUACCCGGGUAGUCCUAGCCGUAAACGAUACUCGCUAGGUGUCGCCACGGUGCGACCGUUGUCGGUGCCGUAGGGAAGCCGUGAAGCGAGCCACCUGGGAAGUACGGCCGCAAGGCUGAAACUUAAAGGAAUUGGCGGGGGAGCACCAC